GCAUCACUUCCUGAUGGAAACUCAGCUUUUAUUUCAGCAACAAUAAGGGUUGUGCUGGACCCCUGACCUCACCUGAAGAUGUCUUUAUGUUGGAUCUGCCUUAUAUAUGGGGCAGUUGGUUCAAGACUUAGAGAAAUUUCUACAGAUACUCUCAUUCCAGAAUGAUGGGACCCAACCGGGGGAAUUGGCCGGAAGCAACAAUGGCUUCAGGCUUGGCGAAAUGGACUAAAACAUGGAGUAUCAUAAACUGGGGCAAUACGGGAAGUUCUUGCAAACAAUGUGGCCCUUUCUUCUCAGACAUCGGACAUAACCACAUCUGUUACCUGCCUAAUCAUCCAUCCACUCCUUUGCUACAGAUGCAUAUCCAGGAUUCUGUGUCCUCUCAUUGUUCUUUGUGGAUA